rnacentral:ncRNA from 1 species
UAAAAUGCAUUGAGAACGAAGGCUCUAAAUACAACCAUUUCAGAGAGAGAGACGCGGCUGAAAGUCUUUUAUCGUUGGUUUAGAGUUGCCCCGUUUGAGCAGCUGAAGAAGAAAGUCGUAAUCCCAUAUUCGAUCAGUAUUUUCAGUCGGGAAACCGUUAUUUAGUAAAGUGAGUUGCCAAUGAUUUUGCAGCUAAUUUGGGUGGUACCGCGGAUUAAACCGUCCCUUGC